rnacentral:lncRNA from 1 species
GAAAAUUUGUCAACAGAAGGCAUGACAGGCUUAUAGGAUCUAUGUUAAUAUUUAUAAAUACAUAAAAUAGAUACUUACAGACUUUUGUUGUCUAUCCUGAUAUGUUCCUGGUGCCGUUUCAACCACGACAAAUACAAUACACAAAUGGAUAUUGAAUCGUCGCUCCUAAUCUUUGAAUAUCUUUCCUCCAUGUACUAACUCGAAUAAUUCAGCGCCCCUAUCCACUACUUUUCUCGAGGAAAUGGUUAAUGGAGUGAUCGAAGUGAUCGUAAUAUAACGACUGGAUUAUUCGGGUUAUCCAUGUACUGACAAAUAUAUUAAGAUACACGCUGUGGAUUUAUUAUGUAAUUUCCGUCGUUUGUUUGUCAUUAUCUAUCGUGCGAAAUUUUACAUUCGAAUGUUUAUAAUUUAUUAGGGUUUAUAUGAUCACGAUGGGCACAGUAUGUGGUCAUUAAAAUAUGAUAUGGGUAAUUAGCAUAUCAUAUGAUAACAAAUCUUGUUCGAAGAAACUUUAGAAUCGUAAGAUUUUAUAUUACAAUUCUCUUUUUCGUUUAGUUAGGUUAGAAUAUCUCAUAAUA